UGAAGAUAUGUUUGCGCACAAACUCAGGACCCUGGGUGGAGAGAGGAGAGGGGUCAGGACAGCCAGGUAAUGGUUGCCUGGCUCCCAGGCCCGACCUGGAAGGAUUUCCAGCUCCCAUCUGCCAGUCCACACGGCCAUUCUCCAACAUCCCAGACCUUGAAUUUCUUGCCACUGAGAGGACACAGCCACUUAUCCUUGCCCAGUUCCUGCGUGUUGGAGGUGACGAACUUCUCCACUUCCUGCUCUGGGUCUUUGCGCCCCAUCUUCUGGGCCUCUUCCUCUGACAGCGACUCUCGCACACUCAGCAACGGCGUGAGCUUCUCCUCAAACGUCUUCUGCCACUCCAGCACUGUGGUUUGGGAACAGAGGAAGGAAGGUUGGGAAGGGAGCCGGAAGGAAGGAUGGUGGCAAGGGUCUGGAGGAGCGAGGCCAAGGGCAGCCGGCGACAAAGGGGAACCUGGAGCUCACCUUCCCCGUGACUGAUGCGGUUGGGUGGCAUGGGCCCCCGAACGUGGAUGAUGCCACAACGAUUGGGCAUCUCGUCCUCGUUGGGGUACUCACAGGUGUUGUAAUAAUCCAAGGAAUGCACAAUGCGCAGGUAAAGGAGGAGCUUGUCCAAGACCUAAGGGAAGUGAGUGUGAGUGCUCAGCUCCUGCCCUCACCACCUGAGCCCCCACGUGCCCCACGCUGCCACUGGCACCUUGAUCAACUUCUCAUCCCGCUCCACGUUGAUCUCUGCCGGGUUCCCUUCCUUAGGAGGCUCCUCAGGAGGGGCGCCCCCGCUGCUCCCCAGCAGCUCCUCCUCUUCGGCGCUCACUUCCUCGAUCAGGUAGUCGGUGAUAUUCUUCAAGAUCGGGUUUUGUGAGGGCAGGCUCUGGUGGGAGGAAGACAGGCAAGUAAGGCAGAGAAGGACCUUCAGGGGAGGUAACCUGAGACCUACCACAAGUGAAAGAGCGAGGGAACAAGAGUUCACUGGACAUAACUGGCGCCUUUUGCCCCCUUGA